UACAGAGGGGGCAAGCGUUGUUCGGAAUUACUGGGCGUAAAGGGCGCGUAGGCGGCCUUCUAAGUCGAACGUGAAAUCCCUGGGCUCAACCCAGGAACUGCGUCCGAUACUGGAAGGCUUGAAUCCGGGAGAGGGAUGCGGAAUUCCAGGUGUAGCGGUGAAAUGCGUAGAUAUCUGGAGGAAUACCGGUGGCGAAGGCGGCAUCCUGGACCGGCAUUGACGCUGAGGUGCGAAAGCUAGGGGAGCAA
rnacentral:rRNA from 1 species